UUCUAGUGUUUUCUUUCUUUUACUAAUUUUUCUUUGUCUAGUAUCAUCUCUGUCUCGUAGUUUCCCAUCCAUCUCACUAUGUUCGAACUUUUGGCAAUCUGGAAAUGAACUAUCUGUGAAAACACAUGCUCCAGUAUAAUCUGAGACGCCAAUUCAAGCAAAACAAUCAGUACUAUUCACAUUUAUUAACAACAGCUUGAGAUGCUCAUGUAGAGGCUAGUGCAAGCUACUAGUACUAGGCAUCCAGCGUGGUUGGAACAAACUAGAUGAACAAAUGAUUUAACGGGGUAGCACUACAUACACAGGCAUGAAUAGGAACAACGCUAUGUACCUGGAGACCGGCCACAACAGCAAGCGACACAUGCGACUACGUCAAACUUAACCACGAUGAGGCGGCCACCAACAGCGGACCGUCACCGAAGCCCUUAUUGAAUGAACACAUGCGACGAACACCUGCAUUUUGUUUUCCUUUUGUUUACUGAAUGGUCGUGAAGCUUCACAGUUGGAAGCUUUUAUGCAUGUCAAUCUUUCACAGUUGAAAGUAAUCUGAGCUAUCUCAAAACAUCGAACUGAUACAUACAUGCAAGAACGAAACCGGUACAAGCAAUACAAACAAUCAAUAUGAGGAGGAAUCUCUAGAUGAAUAAGAACAGAGCUUCAAGAAGAUUCAUCAAAUUCAUACCAAAAAUAUGAGGGGUCACGGU
rnacentral:lncRNA from 1 species